UGGGGAAUUUUGGGCAAUGGGCGAAAGCCUGACCCAGCAACGCCGCGUGAAGGAUGAAGUAUUUCGGUAUGUAAACUUCGAAAGAAUAGGAAGAAUAAAUGACGGUACUAUUUAUAAGGUCCGGCUAACUACGUGCCAGCAGCCGCGGUAAUACGUAGGGACCAAGCGUUGUUCGGAUUUACUGGGCGUAAAGGGCGCGUAGGCGGCAAUUCAAGUCAUCUGUGAAAUCUCCGGGCUUAACUCGGAACGGUCAGAUGAUACUGCUUUGCUAGAGUGCAGAAGGGGCAAUCGGAAUUCUUGGUGUAGCGGUGAAAUGCGUAGAUAUCAAGAGGAACACCUGAGGUGAAGACGGGUUGCUGGGCUGACACUGACGCUGAGGCGCGAAAGCCAGGGGAGCAAACGGGAUUAGAUACCCCUGUAGUCCCUGAGCGGGCUGGCAAGGCGCAU
rnacentral:rRNA from 1 species